GUGAACGCUGGCGGUAGGCCUAACACAUGCAAGUCGCACGGCAGCACAGUAAGCGCUUGCUCUUACGGGUGGCGAGUGGCGGACGGGUGAGGAAUACAUCGGAAUCUACUUUUUCGUGGGGGAUAACGUAGGGAAACUUACGCUAAUACCGCAUACGACCUACGGGUGAAAGCAGGGGAUCUUCGGACCUUGCGCGAUUGAAUGAGCCGAUGUUGGAUUAGCUAGUUGGCGGGGUAAAGGCCCACCAAGGCGACGAUCCGUAGCUGGUCUGAGAGGAUGAUCAGCCACACUGGAACUGAGACACGGUCCAGACUCCUACGGGAGGCAGCAGUGGGGAAUAUUGGACAAUGGGCGCAAGCCUGAUCCAGCCAUACCGCGUGGGUGAAGAAGGCCUUCGGGUUGUAAAGCCCUUUUGUUGGGAAAGAAAAGCAGCAGGUUAAUACCCCGCUGUUCUGACGGUACCCAAAGAAUAAGCACCGGCUAACUUCGUG
rnacentral:rRNA from 1 species